GCAUGGCCGGGCCUAGCGCCAGACGUCCUGCGCGACGUCCGCUCCCGGCUCCCGUCCCUCGCCGACCGCGUCCGCCUCCGCGCCAUCUGCCGCCCAUGGCGCACGGGCGUCAAGCUCCAGCCGUGCCGGGCCCCUCCGCAUCUCCCCUGGCUCGCCCUCCCGGACGGCACCGCCUUGGACUUCGCCCACAACAGCGCGUACCGUCUGCGUAUCCCAAACGACGACGGCCCCUGCUACAGCGCCGGCGAGAGCAUGUUCUUCCACCACGGCAACGACGGGCGGUGCUCCGUGGUCAACGGGUUCUCCGGCGCCGCGACGCCUCUCCCCGAGCUGGCCGAACUCCUACGGUCUCACAUGGUAAAUCCAUGCGACGAGAAAAAGUUCGAGUCCAAGCGGUCUGAGAAUAUGAGGAUCAAGAAGGUGGCGAUGUCAUCCGUGGCAGCCUCGCCGAACCAUCAACGCCUCGUGGCCGUUCUAGCCAGUAACUGCUCCAAAUCCAGAGUCUUUAUCUCCACGUGCCGACCGGCCGGCGAGAUCAACUCGUGCAUUGUGACGCAGGAGACAUCCACCAUCCUCGACGUCGCCUUCUUCCAAGGGAAGAUGUACGCGCAGGUCAAGAUAUUCCAGGAGCUCCUCGCCGUCGAACUCAGCGACGGCUGGCUCGACAAGCCGCCGACGCCGCCCGGCGUCCAACCUCAAGUGAAAGCGUUCACAUCAUGGAUAUGGCCCCCUGACCUCCAACCGGACAUGUAUCUGAAACAAUUCUCCCACGACAAUAGCCCGAACGAGCAAGUACAGCAAUAUCUAGUGGAAUCCAACAGCAAGCUGCUGCUGGUGAGGAGAUAUUUCCGGGCCCCACCCCCGCAAAUUGGCCGCAAACAACAUUUAAGUUGCCGGUUCGAGGUGCUCGAGGCGGACCUCACGGACGGUCCCGGCCUUGGCCUGUGGAAGAAGGCCCGCAGCCUCGACGGCUGGGCGCUCUUUGUGGGCGCCACGUGCUCCAAGUCUUUCCGUGCUAGUGAUGUUGAUGGAGCUCGAGGAGAUUGUGUCUACUUCCUGCUCGAUCAUGGCAAUCCCCUUGGCCACGCCGGCGUGUACAGCGUGGUGCACAGGACGAUCGUGCCGUUCAUGCCACCGUCGCGGAGGGUAAAGCCAAAGAGAUGGUCAUGGGAUAACCUGAGGUUUCCGGCAUGGUUUUUCCCG
rnacentral:rRNA from 1 species